AUUGAACGCUGGCGGCAGGCCUAACACAUGCAAGUCGAGCGGAUGAAGGGAGCUUGCUCCUGGAUUCAGCGGCGGACGGGUGAGUAAUGCCUAGGAAUCUGCCUGGUAGUGGGGGAUAACGUCCGGAAACGGGCGCUAAUACCGCAUACGUCCUGAGGGAGAAAGUGGGGGAUCUUCGGACCUCACGCUAUCAGAUGAGCCUAGGUCGGAUUCGCUAGUUGGUGGGGUAACGGCCUACCAAGGCGACGAUCCGUAACUGGUCUGAGAGGAUGAUCAGUCACACUGGAACUGAGACACGGUCCAGACUCCGACGGGAGGCAACAGUGGGGAAUAUUGGACGAUGGGCGAAAGCCGGAUCCAGCCAUGCCGCGUGUGUGAAGAAGGUCUUCGGAUUGUAAAGCACUUUAAGUUGGGAGGAAGGGAAGUAAGUUAAUACCUUGCUGUUCUGACGUUACCAACAGAAUAAGCACCGGCUAACUUCGUG
rnacentral:rRNA from 1 species